GAAAUGCGAUAAGUAGUGUGAAUUGCAGAAUUCAGUGAAUCAUCGAAUCUUUGAACGCACAUUGCGCCCCUUGGUAUUCCAUGGGGCAUGCCUGUUCGAGCGUCAUUUGUACCCUCAAGCUCUGCUUGGUGUUGGGUGUUUGUCCCCGUCUCCGCGCGUGGACUCGCCCCAAAGUGAUUGGCAGCCGGCGUAUUGGUCCCGGAGCGCAGCACAUGUCGCGCAAACGAGUGCCUUGGUACGGCGGCGUCCAUAAGCCCCUCUCUCACGCUCUUGACCUCGGAUCAGGUAGGGAUACCCGCUGAACUUAAGC
rnacentral:misc_RNA from 1 species